UACGAGGAGCUGUGGAUGCCGUUGAUCGCGGAUCUGACGGCGGCGGGGUCCUGGUCCGCCGCGAUGCUCCUGCCGCCGUUGGAUGUGCACUGGAUUUGGCACUGCCACUGCCUCGACCACGUAAGCAAUUAAAGCUCCUCCCCCAAAUCACACAAUUCCAACGAUUUUGAAAAUUUAAUUAAUUAUUUGCUUCAAUUCAUCGUUUCUUUAAUUUAAGAGAAUUUUCUCAAAUUUUAACACUGUCACAAAAUUUUAUUAAUUUGUAUAAAAAAAUGUAUGGUGACCACCGAUUCUGAAAUGGUCCACGCAACUUUUCUUCUUUUUUUUUUUUUCUUGGUAAUUGGAAUAGUUGUUUGAGUAUUUACACUUAUCGGACGUUACAAAUUUUGUCAAAUUCAAAACUUACUUAAACUUUAAAAAAUUUAAAAUUUGGAAUGUCUCAAUUAAAAAAAAAACAAAUAGUUGAGGGAGCUUUUUCAGAAUGGCACAUAGUUGAGAGAGAGAGUUUCUAUGUAUUAUUUUUUUUUUUCGAAAAAUUUAUUUGUGAUGAUUUGAAAUGAUUUGAGUAUAAGUAAAUCCGAUGAUUUGAGAUCGAAUUUGCCAUAAUUUGUCGUAGAAAACUUAUCUAUUUAAAAAGUAUUCUUUCUAAUUUCUUUACUAGUUAGAUGAUUAAUUAAAAAUAAAAAAAAAAAAAAAUUGAAUUUAAAUCAAUUACAUUCAUCCCGAAGAUCUAAUUUCUUUUUCUUUUUUUUUUUUGCACCAAUACACAAUGUAAUCCAUUUCAAGUCACUUAUGUUCCAAUUAAAGAAAAAGUAAAUGUGUAUAGAAUUUAUCUCAACUCUCAUUUAUUUAAUUUGAUUUCACUAUCAAAUUUUUUCUAAAAUUUAAAAUUUAAAAUUUUUAUUUAUUUAAUUUGAGCCAACUAAUAACUAUUUAACACAAAAAAUACGUUUUUUUUUUUUUUUUUUUUUUUUUUUUUUUGGGUGGAAAUAAUUNAGAUGUAGGAUCUGAAACACACCGAUUCGGAUUUCGAAAUAGAUGAUUAAAAUAGUUUGAAAAUAAAAUUAUUUUCAAGUUUUUUUUUUAAAAUACCCGGUAACACUUACGUUAAUCACAUAGUAAACUUACUACUUUAAAUAUAUAUAAAAAAUCCGAUCGUCUUUUUAAAAGAUAUCAAUAAGCGAAAAAGUGAAAAAGAAAGAAUAAAAAUUUUUAGAUAUAGUACAGGGAUAUUUUAAAAUUUUUAUAAAAAAUUUUUAAUACUGUAAUUACUUUUUCGACUUUACUGGUUUAAUAGGAAUGAAGAAAAUAUUUUUUAUUAAAAAAUUAUAUAAAUAUAAUAAAAUUUUAUAUAAAAGUCAUAUUUAAUAUUCUUUAUCUACCCUAUCAUUUUUUUGGAACUGUUUCUCUCUGAUAUAUAUAGUUGAAUUUUAAAAUAUUUUAUUUUAUAUUUGAAAAUUUUCAAUACUUUCUUUUCAUUUUUUUAUUAAUAUUCUAAGAGAUAUAAAAUCGGAUUAAAAAUUCAAUAUCUCAUUUUACGUCGCAUGCGUCCUCCCAAGUUUAAAUUAAAAUAUCGGAUCUUUUGAAGUUUAUAAUAAGUACACCAAAACAUGAAAGAAUGAAAUCAUAAGACAUCAAAUUUUACGUAGUGAAAGCAUAGGACACAAAAGUAAAAAAAGAAAGAUAAUAAGGGAAGCAAUUGAAAAGAUAAUUUAGUUAUUAUUUCAAAAAAAACCUCUAUAUUCAUCGUGCGAUGGACGAAGCAAAUAAAAUAAAUCUUUAUUCAAAUUGACCUUUACAUUUAGUUAAUCUUAAGCUUGAACCUAAAGCCCAUAGUUGGUGGUUCGGGAAACGGUGAACGAUAUUUUUGCCAGCCAUUUAAUUAUUAUUUCAAUUUUAGUGUCUUAUGAUUUCAUUCUUAAACCAUUUGGUGUCUUAUAAUUUCACUUAUAACUUAUUUAGUAACCAGCCUAUAGAUUUCAAAAAAUGUAUAAUGAAUUGCCUCUCAAAAUUGUCUUUACGAAUACUUUUCUUUUUUUUUU
rnacentral:lncRNA from 1 species